AGAUUGAACGCUGGCGGCAUGCCUUACACAUGCAAGUCGAACGGCAGCACGGACUUCGGUCUGGUGGCGAGUGGCGAACGGGUGAGUAAUAUAUCGGAACGUACCCUGGAGUGGGGGAUAACGCAGCGAAAGUUGCGCUAAUACCGCAUACGAUCUACGGAUGAAAGUGGGGGCUCGCAAGACCUCAUGCUCGUGGAGCGGCCGAUAUCUGAUUAGCUAGUUGUAGGGUAAAAGCUACCAAGGCAUCGAUCAGUAGCUGGUCUGAGAGGACGACCAGCCACACUGGGACUGAGACACGGCCCAGACUCUACGGGAGGCAGCAGUGGGAAUUUUGGACAUGGGGGCAACCCUGAUCCAGCAAUGCCGCGUGAGUGAAGAAGCCUUCGGUUGUAAGCUCUUUUGUCAGGAAGAACGGUGAAGGAUAAUAUCCUUGUCUAAUGACGGUACC
rnacentral:rRNA from 1 species